AUUGAACGCUGGCGGCAGGCCUAACACAUGCAAGUCGAGCGGUAGAGAGGUGCUUGCAUCUCUUGAGAGCGGCGGACGGGUGAGUAAUGCCUAGGAAUCUGCCUAGUGGUGGGGGAUAACGUUCGGAAACGGACGCUAAUACCGCAUACGUCCUACGGGAGAAAGCGGGGGAUCUUCGGACCUCGCGCCAUUAGAUGAGCCUAGGUCGGAUUAGCUAGUUGGUGAGGUAAUGGCUCACCAAGGCGACGAUCCGUAACUGGUCUGAGAGGAUGAUCAGUCACACUGGAACUGAGACACGGUCCAGACUCCUACGGGAGGCAGCAGUGGGGAAUAUUGGACAAUGGGCGAAAGCCUGAUCCAGCCAUGCCGCGUGUGUGAAGAAGGUCUUCGGAUUGU
rnacentral:rRNA from 1 species